UGCAGUCGACGGUAGCACAGAGAGCUUGCUCUCGGGUGACGAGUGGCGGACGGGUGAGUAAUGUCUGGGAAACUGCCUGAUGGAGGGGGAUAACUACUGGAAACGGUAGCUAAUACCGCAUAACGUCGCAAGACCAAAGAGGGGGACCUUCGGGCCUCUUGCCAUCAGAUGUGCCCAGAUGGGAUUAGCUAGUAGGUGGGGUAACGGCUCACCUAGGCGACGAUCCCUAGCUGGUCUGAGAGGAUGACCAGCCACACUGGAACUGAGACACGGUCCAGACUCCUACGGGAGGCAGCAGUGGGGAAUAUUGCACAAUGGGCGCAAGCCUGAUGCAGCCAUGCCGCGUGUAUGAAGAAGGCCUUCGGGUUGUAAAGUACUUUCAGCGGGGAGGAAGGUGUUGUGGUUAAUAACCGCAGCAAUUGACGUUACCCGC
rnacentral:rRNA from 1 species